rfam:Ricinus communis cultivar Hale ctg_1100012354249, whole genome shotgun sequence.
AGGACCUUACCUGAACAGAAUCUAGUUUAUAGGCUCAUACCUCUACAUCUUUAAGCACUAAGGAGACAGGAACUCAAAUCUGGAAGAUGAAACAUGACUGUGCGGCAAGAUCAUGAUUAAUAGCCCUUCCGGUGUCUUUGGACCAUAGAAGGGCAGUGGAGAAUUGUUCUCAGCCUGUGUUCAAUGGGCUUGAAAUUGUCACACAGUAGUAUGACAGACU